UUACCUACCUAGGGAGGGACAUACCACGAUCAGCUGGUCAAGUGUUUAUAAGGCAAGGCCUGUUCCUUGCACUCAGGGCAAGCUGACCCCUGCAAGCUUUUCCAAAUGCAGGAGACUUGACUGCACAAUUUUGUGGUAAUGGGGUCAGGGCCGGACACAGGCCUGGG
rnacentral:snRNA from 14 species